rnacentral:rRNA from 1 species
UGGGGAAUAUUGGACAAUGGGCGCAAGCCUGAUCCAGCCACGCCGCGUGAGUGAUGAAGGCCCUAGGGUUGUAAAGCUCUUUCACCGGUGAAGAUAAUGACGGUAACCGGAGAAGAAGCCCCGGCUAACUUCGUGCCAGCAGCCGCGGUAAUACGAAGGGGGCUAGCGUUGUUCGGAUUUACUGGGCGUAAAGCGCACGUAGGCGGACUAUUAAGUCAGGGGUGAAAUCCCGGGGCUCAACCCCGGAACUGCCUUUGAUACUAGUAGUCUUGAGUUCGAGAGAGGUGAGUGGAAUUCCGAGUGUAGAGGUGAAAUUCGUAGAUAUUCGGAGGAACACCAGUGGCGAAGGCGGCUCACUGGCUCGAUACUGACGCUGAGGUGCGAAAGCGUGGGGAGCAAACAGG